UACGUAGGGUGCAAGCGUUUAAUCGGAAUUACUGGGCGUAAAGCGUGCGCAGGCGGUUUUGUAAGUCUGUCGUGAAAUCCCCGGGCUCAACCUGGGAAUGGCGAUGGAGACUGCAAGGCUAGAAUCUGGCAGAGGGGGGUAGAAUUCCACGUGUAGCAGUGAAAUGCGUAGAGAUGUGGAGGAACACCGAUGGCGAAGGCAGCCCCCUGGGUCAAGAUUGACGCUCAUGCACGAAAGCGUGGGGAGCAAACAGG
rnacentral:rRNA from 1 species